AUUGAACGCUGGCGGCAUGCCUUACACAUGCAAGUCGAACGGCAGCACGGGAGCAAUCCUGGUGGCGAGUGGCGAACGGGUGAGUAAUACAUCGGAACGUGCCCGGUAGUGGGGGAUAACCCGGCGAAAGCCGGACUAAUACCGCAUACGACCUGAGGGUGAAAGCGGGGGAUCGCAAGACCUUGCGCUAUUGGAGCGGCCGAUGUCAGAUUAGCUAGUUGGUGGGGUAAAGGCCACCAAGGCGACGAUCUGUAGCUGGUCUGAGAGGACGACCAGCCACACUGGGACUGAGACACGGCCCAGACUCCUACGGGAGGCAGCAGUGGGGAAUUUUGGACAAUGGGCGCAAGCCUGAUCCAGCCAUGCCGCGUGCGGGAAGAAGGCCUCGG
rnacentral:rRNA from 1 species